rnacentral:SRP_RNA from 1 species
GCCGGGCGCGGUGGCUCACGCCUGUAAUCCCAGCACUUCGGGAGGCUGAGGCGGGUGGAUCACCUGAGGUCAGGAGUUUUAGACCAGCCUGACCAACAUGGAGAAACCCCGUCUCUA